rnacentral:tRNA from 4 species
GGGUGCUUAGCUCAGUUGGUUUAGAGCGCUACCCCGACACGGUAGAGGUCACUGGUUCGAAUCCAGUAGCACCCA